rnacentral:rRNA from 1 species
AGUGAACGCUGGCGGUAGGCCUAACACAUGCAAGUCGAACGGCAGCACAGUAAGAGCUUGCUCUUACGGGUGGCGAGUGGCGGACGGGUGAGGAAUACAUCGGAAUCUACUUUUUCGUGGGGGAUAACGUAGGGAAACUUACGCUAAUACCGCAUACGACCUACGGGUGAAAGCAGGGGAUCUUCGGACCUUGCGCGAUUGAAUGAGCCGAUGUCGGAUUAGCUAGUUGGCGGGGUAAAGGUCCACCAAGGCGACGAUCCGUAGCUGGUCUGAGAGGUUGAUCAGCCACACUGGAACUGGGCCACGGUCCAGACUCCUACGGGAGGCAGCAGUGGGGAAUAUUGGACAAUGGGCGCAAGCCUGAUCCAGCCAUACCGCGUGGGUGAAGAAGGCCUUCGGGUUGUAAAGCCCUUUUGUUGGGAAAGAAAAGCAGCAGGUUAAUACCCCGCUGUUCUGACGGUACCCAAAGAAUAAGCACCGGCUAACUUCGUG